rnacentral:sRNA from 1 species
UGAUAGCCCUGAUGGGAGCAAGUAUCCUUUUUUGGCUGGGGUUCAGCCAAAAAGAUACUGCGUACAGCGGGACGAUUU